rnacentral:lncRNA from 1 species
GAUGCUUGGGAGGUGAUCACGGAAGCUUUGAAACGCUGAUGAUGUGCUGGAUGGUUGCCGAAGGAAGCUGAGACGCGUGGGAUGCGAGGAAGAUUGGGAGCUCUGGGACGCAGACGCGGCAGCUGAUCGCGGACGGCUGGGAGGCACGGGAGAAACGGAUGCUGCGGGAUCUGAUAUGAGUUCGGAAGCAUGGGAUGCGGCUGCCGGGAUGAUCGCGAGAAUGGGAAUGGACGCUGGCUCACACGCGGAAAAGGAAUGGCUGAAGAGCUGGCCGCGGGAUGGAUUGCGUGAGAAGCGCGGGAUCCUGAGCUCGGAGGUGAUCGCGGGAUGCUGGAGAUGCACGUGGGAGAAGAAGCUCGGACGCCGUGGAGGAGACACGUUGAUCACGGAAUGAUCGCUGAUGUGGCCACUUUCUUCCUUUUGGAUCUUCUCGGCUUGAUAAACCUAAGCCCUCGGAUGUCCCAUUGCGCGUUGCCUUAGGAUGGCUGCCAUAUAUCCCUCGAGUGCAAGUGUGCUUGAUGAAUGGUGGGUUCGAUCAGACCAUGACGAGGUUGGGCGUAUGUGGUCUGAGUGAUGCAUUUGUCUAGGCCCAAUUUAUACUAAAUGCGCAUUGUAACUUUGAUUUAUGAUCACCUGCACCCAAUCAAAAAUAUAAUAUUAAAUUAGUGAUAAUAUUGUCAUCCGUU